ensembl:misc_RNA 7SK 7SK RNA
GGAUGUGAAGGCAAUUUGGCUGUCACCCCAUUGAUUGCCAGAGUUGGUUUGGCUGAUCUGGCUGGCCAGGCGGUGUCCCCUUCCUCCUUCACCAUUCCAUGUGCAUCCUUCCUGAAGCUUCUGGCUCAGUCAAAGAGGACAACUGCCCCAAAUAGAGGAGCUCUGAUUGCUUGGUUAAGGGUAUAGAAAUAGCUGCACUCCCCUGCUCGACCUCCAAACAAGCUCUCAUUUAAUUUUACACGAACAUGCUCAAUAUGUUUAUUGUUGGUGUAU